CUCAAUCCGGACACCUCUAACCUUGAUAUCAAUAACUCUAUUUUCAGAUUUCAAAUUAGCAUAAAAUUUCCUUACAAGAUUGGGGUAGGUCAAAAUGUCAAGUGAGCACAAGUAUUCCCACCCUAAUUUUUUAAUUUUCUACCCAAAAAUGAAACCCUCCAUUUUCAAGAAUUCAAAAUCUACUUUCCUUUUGAUAGAAACUACUUUAGAAGAAGUAGACCUAAAGGU
rnacentral:lncRNA from 1 species